rnacentral:lncRNA from 1 species
AAGUGAAAAAAUAGAUGGGGAAACUGCAGGCCAGCCCACAGGGGAGUGCCUAUGCAGUGGGCACGCUGUCUGCGUCAUGCACUUGCACAUAUGUCGCAUCGCGAGCUAGCACACUACACGCACGUCAUGUUGCUGACCGUUGGCCACCACAUGGCAUUCAUAUUGAUCGCCACGUGGCUUGCAUGCAAGCCCCAUUUUGGCCUAUUUAAGUCACUCU